rnacentral:lncRNA from 1 species
ACCAAAUCCUCACUCUCCCUUCUUUGUUUCUUUUUCUAAUGUCCCCUCGAGUUAGCAGUCGAGGCGCGAGCUGGUUCUUACAACAUAUAUUAUACAAAGCCUAUCGGAUGGAUAGGGUGGUGGUGGCGGCUUUACCGGCUACUUUCGGUUCAUCCAAAUACGAUAUCGAACGUAAUAAGGUCACGACCAAUCGAUCUUUCGGAGCUUUGGCCAGAUACUUAGACGGGGAUAAUCUGUAUGACGCGGCUAACCUUAAAACUACCCCAUCGAAAUAUUAAGAAUUAUGGAGACGGGUUACUGAAGACGUGACUUCCCAGAAUUAGAAAUCUCUUACCGCCCAGUUUUCCCAAUUGUGGGGCGCUAAUCUACGAGCGGGGAGCGUGCCAGAAUUAACAAAAACGUCAUUUUUGACUGGUGGAGAAAAAUGAAUGGGCA